GUACUAAUCUGCGAUAAGCGCCGGUAAGGUGAUAUGAACCGUUAUAACCGGCGAUACCCGAAUGGGGAAACCCAGUGUGAUUCGUCACACUAUCAUUAACUGAAUCCAUAGGUUAAUGAGGCGAACCGGGGGAACUGAAACAUCUAAGUACCCCGAGGAAAAGAAAUCAACCGAGAUUCCCCCAGUAGCGGCGAGCGAACGGGGAGGAGCCCAGAGCCUGAAUCAGCAUGUGUGUUAGUGGAAGCGUCUGGAAAGGCGCGCGAUACAGGGUGACAGCCCCGUACACAAAAGCGCAUGUGCUGUGAGCUCGAUGAGUAGGGCGGGACACGUGGUAUCCUGUCUGAAUAUGGGGGGACCAUCCUCCAAGGCUAAAUACUCCUGACUGACCGAUAGUGAACCAGUACCGUGAGGGAAAGGCGAAAAGAACCCCGGCGAGGGGAGUGAAAAAGAACCUGAAACCGUGU
rnacentral:rRNA from 1 species